rnacentral:rRNA from 1 species
GCGUGGCGGGGUGCUAUAAUGCAAGUCGAGCGAGCUUGCCUAGAUGAUUUUAGUGCUUGCACUAAAUGAAACUAGAUACAAGCGAGCGGCGGACGGGUGAGUAACACGUGGGUAACCUGCCCAAGAGACUGGGAUAACACCUGGAAACAGAUGCUAAUACCGGAUAACAACACUAGACACAUGUCUAGAGUUUAAAAGAUGGUUCUGCUAUCACUCUUGGAUGGACCUGCGGUGCAUUAGCUAGUUGGUAAGGUAACGGCUUACCAAGGCAAUGAUGCAUAGCCGAGUUGAGAGACUGAUCGGCCACAUUGGGACUGAGACACGGCCCAAACUCCUACGGGAGGCAGCAGUAGGGAAUCUUCCACAAUGGACGCAAGUCUGAUGGAGCAACGCCGCGUGAGUGAAGAAGGGUUUCGGCUCGUAAAGCUCUGUUGGUAGUGAAGAAAGAUAGAGGUAGUAACUGGCCUUUAUUUGACGGUAAUUACCUAGAAAGUCACGGCUAACUACGUGCCAGCAGCCGCGGUAAUACGUAGGUGGCAAGCGUUGUCCGGAUUUAUUGGGCGUAAAGCGAGUGCAGGCGGUUCAAUAAGUCUGAUGUGAAAGCCUUCGGCUCAACCGGAGAAUUGCAUCAGAAACUGUUGAACUUGAGUGCAGAAGAGGAGAGUGGAACUAG